ACCUUUAAAAAUAAGCUUAUAUUCAAUUUGGCAGGAAAUUAUGCAAAUACAUUCUGUAAGGGCAGAUUCCAAUGGUAAAACAUGAAAUAAACUUAAGAAAAAGGGGGAGUCAAGUAAAGAGAAAGUUGGUGGGUCUUGCUAUUUUUUUGUACUUUAAAUAUUUUUAGGCCUCUUCACCACUGCUGUUGGGUCAUUUCUCUUAGCUAUACUAAAGAGCCUUUGUCAGUCUGGAGGAGGCAGCCAUGUGUCCAUGAAUGCUUAUUUAGUAUGGUGAGGACAGAUGGCCUGGAAUUGCUGAAGAAGACCUUAAGAUAUAUUUAAAAGAGGAAAGGGAAAGAAACAAUAAGGGAGGAAAUAAAUUAGAGAAGAGGCAAAUGUGUGGCAAAGAAAAGUACACACACAAACACACACACAUGCAAGCACAUGCACACAAAUGCAGACAGACUCUAAAGUGCAAAAAAAGCAAUGGAUGCAUCAAGAAUUUCAUUUUAGCCUCUUCUGAGAACCAAGAAGCCAUAUAAAGCAAAGCACUUUCUGAAAUGAAGUUCACUAUGUGCUAAACACACAGAGAAUAAAGCAUGAAACCAAAGCACCACGACCCCACCCUCACCAAGACUGCAGGGAGUGAUGGAGCAUACAACUUGGUUUCAGAAUACAAUUCGGAUCUUUCCUUUCACUUGGCUUUUUAAAACUUCUUUGAGGAUGGUAAAUUUUCAUAUUAUAUUAAAUUUCAUGCUGUAACUGAUAUUCUGGGAUCAUGUUGGCCAAUAACUGAUAAGAUUUGAAAUAAUCAGUCAACUAGUUUAGGCAUGGCUUAGCACACUCCAGCUGACUUCACAAGUAAAGCCAUGUGAAGUUUUCAGAUAACACAGGUGGAGGUGGCGAUCCUUCUCAUUUCAUGGAAAAUAUUAAUUGCUCAUUUUUUAUUCACUGAUAACUAGUGAAAUUCCUUGCUCUACCUAAUAUGAAGACUUCUGAAUUACCUAACUAAAACUUUAUAGUAACUGAAAAGUUUGGGUAUUUUAUUUUCUUGGAGAAAAUGUUAGCUUCCAGUCAUCUAUUACUUCAAAAUGUUAAACUUUUCAUGAAUUUCCUCUGUGUAUACUAAUGGGCAUAAUGAUCCACUCUGAAAUAUUAACUGUCAUUUUGAAUUCAUUCAUAAAUCAUCACAAACGUGUACAUCUCUUAUACCUUCAUGGAUGCUAUUGGUGAGAUGAUCUCUCCUUGUCAACACCUUGAGGAUAGGGACUUCUUCAGGCUUGCCUCUAGCAACUGCUAAGUGCCUGGGAACACAGAAUAAAUAUUUUAUGAUAGGAAGAUGUUAGAAUAAGAGGAAAAACUGGGGUAAAAAAAUUUACCCUAAUAAAUUAUAUUUAUUAUAUUCUUAUUUGUAUAUCAUUGUAACUGUAAAAAAUAUUUGCCUAGGGAUUUGUUUUACUUGCACAAAUACUUGUUUCUGGGUAUGUAAGACUACCAAACAUAUACUGCAUAACAUUCAGAAAUUACAGAAAUGUAUAUAUAUUUAUAUAGACAUAAUAAAAUAAAAUUUUCAUUCUACCAUAUAGAAAUAACUACAUUUAAUAAACUAUAUUUAAUGUUAUUUUUCUCAUAUAUGUAAAGUUUCACAUAGUUAAGUUUAUACAUUUGCUUUCAAAACUCAUUUUUCAAUUAAACAUUAUAUCCAUUAGAAUGUUCAUGACAUCCUUUAUUUAUACCUUUACAUUUAUUUUUAGGGCCAGAUGUGAUGGUUCACACUUGUAAUCCCAGCACUUUGGGAGGCCAAGGCAGGUGUAUCACAAGGUCAGGAGAU